AUAUCUCUCUGUACGGGAAGGAUGAGAAGCUUCGACUAAGGUUCGAUUCGAGCGUCAGCGAGAAAGCGUU
rnacentral:sRNA from 2 species